AGCUCGGUUAGAUUCUCGGCCAGCAAACCUGUACAAGAGUGUGUGAACUCUGCGUUUGCUUCGCCCGGACAAAGGUGAAUUCGUGGUCACUACUGGAUGGCAACAGGUGUGGCCUCAGGAGCAGCACGGAGACAGGCACCCGGGUGCAGGAAGAGCAUCUGCAAGAGGGGGUGGGGAAGGUGACAGACGCACGUGCGAGUUUAGCUGUUACCGUGGAUGGGGGGUGGUUGGGUAAGACCAGAUUUUCUCAUUGUUGCCCCUUUCUGAAAAAGACCCUGAAUUGACUUCUCUGUGGCUCCUCGCGCCUCCUUGUCAGGUUGGAGGAGACUGCUCUCCUGGCUCAGGCCCUGCUUGCGGCAUCACGGAAGCUGCUGUUGCUUGCCCUGCCCUCCCUGUGACGUCCUCUGUGCUGUUGUCCGGGAACAGUUCUGCCGAGCAAGCUUGGACUCUGCUCCCUUCUGCUCUUGGAUUUCGUGUCUGGAAAGCUUGUGUUCUUUCCUGAUUUUUGAUGAUGCUGAGCUAUGUUUUUGCAAGGAUCACGCGUGCCUAUAGCAGGGAGAAGCCCCUUUGCAAUUUUAACAUCUUGACGCUCUCAAGCAGAGCUUGCUAUCGAAGUUGACAGCCUCCUGUGUUUUUGUUUUGGCAGAAACUGAAUUUCAGUCCUAGGACAGCUUCAGCACACUUGAUCCUAGCUCUUCUCUCUCACUGCUCCCCUCGUGUGUGGCAGAAAUCAUAUGCCCUGAAGUUUACCAGUCCCUUCAUUUGAAAAUCAGUUAGUGUAUGCGAUCCUCAUGAGAAUUUUACUUUUUAUAAAAGCAAUCGCAAAGACUGGGUUUUGUGAAACCAGUGUUUUAUGUGUAUAUUAAUUGCACUCACAAUAAGCUUUGUCUUCUAAAUAUUUCAUGUUUCAGAUUAGCCCUGGAAUCAUGCCCUGGAGUAGUUGUGCUAUUCCGCUUUUAUUUUUGGCUAAGGUAAAGUUGAGAACAUUGUGAUAUUAGAUGUAGUGAGUCCUUUUAGUUUCUUCUAUGUCUGUUUUCCUUUAAGCCAGAACCAGCAGACUGAUACCAGUUUGUGAGCACCUGGCAUCUCCCAGGCCUUUCCUGGGUCUUCCCUCCGCUGUUUGUGGACAGAGCAGUCAUUGGUGGAAGAUGAACUUGAGAAUCUGUGUGUGGAAUUAAGUAAAUGUCAUAGCUCUCUUCUGUGACAAACUGAAUGACAUUAAGCCCAGUAAAUUGUAACAGCAGACUUUGCACAUACAAAGCAUUGAACACCAGGAAGGUAACCAGGCUGCGAUGCUUCUGGUCCUGCACAAGACCUCCGGUAUCACAGCGCAUUUAACAUACUGGCAGCAUUGAGUGUUUGAAAAUGUUGUGUAUGUACCAUGUCCGUGAUUUUCGAGGGCCUGGAUAAACACCUCUGGUUAUCGCAAUCUUUAUCAAUGGGAGCUUAAGGUUAGUACUGGGGCAGACUGUGUUUUAAAGAAUUAAGGUGUCUCGAGUAUGUUUCAGUUUUCCCAUGAAGAAGAAACAUGUCAGCUGUUCUUUCCUGGACUGUGGCUAUCACAGUGCCCCACCACGGUCGGUCACAUGUUUACUUCCCCUCCAUUUAACCGGGCUGGGCUUGGGCCAGAGUACUUCGGUUGUCAAAUGUCAUAUGAGGCUGAGGAACUGUCUUCUGCUUCAUCAUUAGCUUAUGGAAACACUGUUUUCCAAAGCAUACUCU
rnacentral:lncRNA from 1 species